AUAUUCUUUGUUUCUCGAGAAAAUUGAUCUCACCCUAGUAGGAGCCAAUAAAAAUUCCGAACCCGUGAACUCUUUUUCUUACUAGAAAUGCAAUUUCUCUCUCUCGACGAGGGGGAUAAAGAGAGUGACAAUAUCGAACAGUGAGGGAAAGGGAUCGGCAAAAAUGACGGUAAUGGCGGCCGGCUCUGAUUGCCAGAUAUCGGCUCCGACGGUGUUUCCGGUGGUGCUGGUGCUUGGGAUUGUGCUGCCAUUUCUGUUCGUGAGGAUCACGAUCUUGAUUCUGGAAUCUGUUGCGGCGUGUUCCUCAUUGGGAAGGGUCUUACUUUACCACCAAGUACCACAGUACGUGCUUCACUUACAGAUGUGAAACCUGGUGUGUCCUUGGAGGAAAAACAACUACCCAAAGGAGAAACUUGGUCUGUUCACAAAUUUGGUGGAACCUGUGUGGGAACCUCUCAAAGAAUAAAAAAUGUUGCUGACAUAAUUCUUAAGGAUGAUUCGGGGAGAAAAUUGGUGGUUGUCUCUGCAAUGUCAAAGGUGAAAAAUAUGAUGUAUGACCUUAUCCACAAGGCUCAAUCACGCGAUGAGUCUUAUAUAGCUGCAUUGGAUUCUGUUUAGGAGAAGCACAAUGCAACUGCACAUGACAUACUUGAUGGACAUAAUCUUGCUAGUUUCUUGUCUAAAUUGCAUCAUGAUAUUAGUAACCUUAAGGCAAUGCUUCUCUUUGAUACUCUGUUCUGUUUUCUCUUGUUCAGUUAUAUCUAUUUCUUUUGUAAAUCGUCAUUUGAACCUAGUAUGUUAUCUUCAAGUUGUCCUUGUUUAUUAUAAGUUGACAUUUAUGGCUUUCACUUUCUGGUGUUGUUUUCACAUUGUAAUGGUAUUGAUGUUGAUGUAUAUUGCAUUAGCUAUGUCUUGGUUGCUAUUUUAUAGUAUUGAUCAUUGCUUAUGUCUUGGACACUAUUGUAUGACCAUAAUAAUAUUAUUAUGGUAAGAAUAUUAAAUGCACAGUCCUACUCUACUUUUCUACAACUUCCAAAAAAGGUCUGUCAUUUCAAAGGAUUGGAGUUCUGAUAUUUAGUUGGGGAGCCUUUCAUGUUCAGUUUGAUUUUUGUUUUUUUUCUGUAAUGUAACUAAUCAUUACCAAUGCUUUGGAUGACAGUGUUGGAGCGUAGCAUCAACACACUUUUUCUCACUGAAAUGGUUUGAGGUUUAAUGCUGACACUGAAACACUUCUUCGAAACAAAAGUUACAACAAGUGUCUUCUAAAACUUGUUGCUGGCCAAGAUUGUUGCAACUUCUAUUUAAAUGCAUGAUUUUUAAUGCAGAUUAACUAUCCUUUUGAGAAAGGCCCUUUGAGCCCCCGUUUCUAUGGUGAACAUGCACUCCGAUGACAUCCAACAGGGGAGGAACGUUGCAUUGCUUGCAAACUUUGUGAAGUUGUAAGUCUUUGAUUGUUUAUCCUAUAGUUUUGGUUUAACGAUCAUUGAGACCAUGCAUUCUACCCAGCAUUGUCUAUCCAACAGGGGAGGAAUGUUGUAUUAUUUAUUUACUUUGAAUUUUUUUCUUUAUUACUGUACACUAGUACUGCUGCAACAUUAUACCUGUAAUGUGGGACAAACAUAUUAAGCUAGUAGAGAGUAAGGAUAGAAGCACAUGUACAUAUUAAUUUAUAGGAGGCCAAAGCAUCUAGUAGUCCCUAAACAAUGAAAUUACUAUUUUUUUAAAAUGAAAUA